rfam:Triticum aestivum genome assembly, contig: Triticum_aestivum_CS42_TGACv1_scaffold_429422_5BS
GGAUGCGAUCAUACCAGCACUAAAGCACCGGAUCCCAUCAGAACUCCGUAGGUAAGCGUGCUUGGGCGAGAGUAGUACUAGGAUGGGUGACCUCCUGGGAAGUCCUCGUGUUGCAUUCC